rnacentral:rRNA from 1 species
GGAUUAGAUACCCUGGUAGUCCACGCCGUAAACACUGUGCACUAGAUUUAGGGGGAGUUGACCCCUUCUGAAUCGAAGCUAACGCAUUAAGUGCACCGCCUGGGGAGUACGGUCGCAAGACUAAAACUCAAAGGAAUUGACGGGGGCCCGCACAAGCGGUGGAUUAUGUGGUUUAAUUCGAAGCAACGCGCAGAACCUUACCUAGGCUUGAAAUCCUACGAAUCCGGCCCAAAAGCUGGAGUGCCCCUCGGGGAAUGUAGAGACAGGCGCUGCAUGGCUGUCGUCAGCUCGUGUUG